GAUCGCGUAGCGCAAUUGGUUAGAGCACCAGACUGUCGAUCUGGAGGUUGCGGGUUCGAGUCCCGUCGCGAUCGCCA
rnacentral:tRNA from 1 species